rnacentral:rRNA from 1 species
AUCACUGGGCGUAAAGGGAGCGUAGGUGGCCUGACAUGUCRACUGUGAAAACCCGGAGCUCAACUCCGRACYUGCAGUUGAAACUGCCAGGCUUGAGGACGGUAGAGGAAGACGGAACUGCCARUGUAGGGGUAAARUCCUUAGAUAUUGGCAGGARCGCCGGUGACGAAGGUGGUYUUCUGGGCCGGUUCUGACACUGAUGCUCGAAAGCCRGGGGAGCGAACGGGAUUAGAUACCCCGGUAGUCCUGGCCCUARACGRUGUUCACUAGGUGUGGGGAGCGGAAAGCUUUCCGUGCUAAAGCUAACGCGAUAAGUGAACCGCCUGGGGAGUACGCCCGCAAGGGUGARACUCAAAGGARUUGWYGGGGGCCCGCACAAGCGGUGGAGCGUGUGGUUUAAUUCGAUGCUAAGCGAAGGACCUUACCAAGGUUUGACAUGCUGAUAGUAGUGAAUUGAAAGAGGAACGACCAC